GAUCCUAUCUGCGUGUGAGAAUCACCAGAAAGUAGACAGGAGGGUCAGUAGGUUUGUCGUGCCGUUGUCUGUCACUAUCAGUGCCAACGGAAGUGCCGUGUUCAUCACAUCGGCGGCCAUAUUCUCAGGCAAUAUCACAGGAAUUAGUCUGAAUGUUGGUGACAUUGUCAUUAUUAGUAUUUUGACCGCCAUCUGCGUCAUGGCGUUACCCAGCAUACCGAGUUCUGGAAUCGUUACCUUGGUGAUGAUAUUAACCUCCAUGAACAUCCCGCUGGAUUCUAUUUCUCUCCUGUUCGCGGUUGAAUGGUUUUUAGACCGGGUACGAUCGUCAAGUAACCUCGUGAGCCAUGCACACUGUGCAGUUGUGACGUAUCAUUUCUGUAGGAACGCUCUGGAGCAGUCCAAUAUAAUACAGGACAUCGGAAAAGACAAUGACAACACAGAGUUAGAAGUUUAGACAUUUUGUUAAUUAUCGUCAAAUCAGUAAAUAUAUCGUGGAAGAACGUCUUUUCUUCGACACAAAGGUUUAUACUAAGUUUUGAUAAUCACCUACGAGUGAUUUGAUAUGUUAUUUUGCGUGGUUCUAGAGUUCACCAUCAAAUGCCUAGAUGUCAACUGA